rnacentral:rRNA from 1 species
UACACUCCUGCGGGAGGCAGCAGUGGGGAAUAUUGCACAAUGGGCGCAAGCCUGAUGCAGCCAUGCCGCGUGUAUGAAGAAGGCCUUCGGGUUGUAAAGUACUUUCAGCGGGGAGGAAGGCGAUAAGGUUAAUAACCUUGUUGAUUGACGUUACCCGCAGAAGAAGCACCGGCUAACUCCGUGCCAGCAGCCGCGGUAAUACGGAGGGUGCAAGCGUUAAUCGGAAUUACUAGGCGUAAAGCGCACGCAGGCGGGCUGUCAAGUCGGAUGUGAAAUCCCCGGGCUCAACCUGGGAACUGCAUUCGAAACUGGCAGGCUAGAGUCUUAUAGAGGGGGGUAGAAUUCCAGGUGUAGCGGUGAAAUGCGUAGAGAUCUGGAGGAAUACCGGUGGCGAAGGCGGCCCCCUGGACAAAGACUGACGCUCAGGUGCGAAAGCGUGGGGAGCAAACAGGAUUAGAUACCCGGGUAGUCCCAUGA